AGAGUCGGAGCAGAACUCCUGUCGGACAACAUCUCCAGGACUCUACGAUCCAUUUGACUAGGCAGUUUGUGAAGACAGAUAAUCAAGAGAUGUGACAAACUGUACAGAAGUCAGUUCCAGAUCCACCCUCCACACCAGACCUCUCUCUCAUAUGGACUGCUGUCUACUAGCAUACUUCGGUUGAUGCAGAUAUUACUCAGGGACAUGAACACUUGAAUAUUG